GGUCUGACUCAUAACAUGUCACAGUGAUAGGAAUAGCUACAUUAUGCAACACAGGACCAUGUAAGCAGAGACAAGGGUGCAUAGUGCCAAGUGCCAAAAUGCAUCAACAUGAGCUCCUCUGGAGUCUGAUGGGUUUGAGGAUUUUCUUGUAUAAAAGUUACAGUUCGAAAUCAUUUCCACCAAGGCACACAUUUCCCGUUCACUUUAAUUAAACACGUGAAGCAAUAAACCAGACGAGAGAUAAAUUCAUUACCAGAAAGUUGCGGUCUUCUGCUGUGGCCGGGGUGCAGUCCAUGUCCCGCGUGUGGAGGAAGUUUCCUGCACUGUGUGCUGGAUGUGCGGUGUACAGAGCUCUGUGCGGGAAGCCACCGCAGCUCCAUUGCGUGGAGGCUCCACGUGUCUCGCGCCUUUCCAGCGUUUUGUCACGCAUGGCAGCAGUACCUGUCAGAGAACGCGGAACAAUCUGCGGGAUGGAUUACCAGCCCGGCCUAUUGGGCACAUGCCCAGGAGCCCUGGAUGUGCAGAGAUUUUACAAUGAAUGAUCUUUUCAGAUGUGUAAAAAAUUUCUGACCACAUGAAGGACACAGACAGGACUAAAAUCCCAGAGAGAUACGUUUAAUAAUGAACACCUUGCCAUGUAAAACUAGUCCAAAGCAAACAUGGCUCAAUAACUUUUGUUUAGUUUGUUUGGAGGAUUGUAACGUUUUGUUUAGUUUCUCAAAAACAUAGCACCAAAACUGUUUGAAAUAGGCUACUCAGAGCUGUACUCAGGGCUGUGACGCAUUUCUGUUUUGAAAUUGUCUGUUUCUCGAGUUUUCACUAUACAUUUGUCAGCACUGAUAGUUCUUUAUAAUGCAAUCAAAAUGGGUGUCUGCUGUAAAGAAUUUAAGACUGAAUUAAGAAAUAUAAUGAGCACUGCUGUGCAUCCGCCAAAGUGGAUUAACCCUCUAAAUUUUUAAAGUAAGUGCAGGUUUGGCAGCUGCUCAAACAAACACAAUAAGCUACAUAACUGCCACAGCUAUAUUACUGAAACACAGAAUUAUAGUUUAAAAUAUUUAUCGCAGAUAUGAAAUAUUCUCAUAGCGCAAUUAUUUCUGUUAAAUUAUUGCGAUGAUAUAACGCUAUAUAACUUUAUGACUUUUAGGAUUUGUGAAUCAGCAGGAGUGUUGCCUGAAAUCUGACAAGCCUUUGAUUUGAUCUAAGAAUGGGCUGUUACACUGAAUGUUUAGCUUAAAACAACAAUUUAUU